CCACGGCAUCCACAAAGGCAGCCAUGAACCAGUCAGUGGUCACUCCUCUUCUGCUGACAACUGAAAUUAUAUUCUGGACUCCUAAUCUUGAAACCAACUAACAUAGGCUGCUAGUUUUCCCCACACUGCCAAAUGUCUUGUGAAAUAAUCAGCUCUCAGAGGCAGCAGACCUGUACAGGACACUACUGUAUUGAACCCUGCAGACAUUUGUAACAGGAAGUAACUGAAGCUCUGGCCCUCACCGGCAACACCAGUGAAGCAGAGGGCAAAGAGCAGGAGCCUCAGUCUCUACAUCUUCAUUGGUGAGCAAACGUUGUUCUCGCCACUCCACCUGCAGAUACCCGAGGCAAACAAAGUCAUCUCUACGACACGCAAUGCUUUUGGAGCAAAACAAAACCUCAGCUUUUGAGUUCACAACACCAUCUUGACUGGAAUUCAUGCCAACACUGCCUAAAAUCUAUGACUCAUACAGAGAUGCUGGAGGUUUCUAAAAUGAAGUUCCUAUGAGAACCUUAGAAGAAGAGUGAAUGAGCAAGGAGAGGAAAGUGGGGAAGGUGGACAGUGACCCAACUUGCAGACCAAGAGAAUAUGAAACCCCAACACCACAGCGGCUGGGAGCCUGAGGGUGGGUAAUAUAGAACGGGUCCCUCCAAAGUCCCGUGCUAGAAACUUAAUCCAAAAUGAGUCUGUUGAUGGUGUUGCUUGGAGGGAUGGCCUUGGGGAAGUAAUUGAGGUUGGAUGACGGCAUGAGGGUAGCAUUAGUGGUUUUAAAUAAAGAUGAAGAGAGACUUCAACUAGCACACAUGUUUGGUCUCAUCAUUCCAUCGACUACCAUGAUGUUCCCAUCCAAGAAGAAGACUUAGGUUUCCUAGUCUGCAGAGCUUUGAGGCAAAUCUACAUUUAUCCUGAGAUGGACAACUCUGGAGGAUGAGCUUCAGGUAGACUCAUUUGAAAAUCAAUAAUUAUCCAGCAAAAUAGAAACAGAACAUAAGUCCUAUGACAAUAGAAAACUAAAACAAGUGAAACUCUGCAAGUACUUCACAAGCCAAAAUGAAGGGAUCGGACCCUCACCCAGACCCCUGCCUUAGUAGCAAGACAGGCUGCAAAAAAGACCUGACAAGACAAAGGCCCCUGACUCAGCACAUGUGCUUCGUUUCCGGACUUCUGACCUUGAAGGAGCUGCCCUAGGUCAGAUACCCUCCAGGUGGCAAGGAACCAAUCAGAAGUUAGAUGGACAUGCUUUCCAGGCAUUCUGGUAAAAGUGGCAUAACACUGAUGUGCAGAACAUAGCAACCACCUUGGGAGGGCCUAUAACAACCAGUUGACCAAUCAGCACAGGAUAGGCUGGUCAAGUUCGGAAAUACACCAAUCCUGAGACUGUUGCAUACCCCCUAGAUAUUCCCUUUGUUCCCCCCAAUAAACUCCCCCUCGAAGCCCCUUGGGGUACUUCUUCCUCCACCCACAAAUGA